GAACGCGAAGAACCUUACCAAGUCUUGACAUCCUUUGACCACUCUAGAGAUAGAGCUUUCCCUUCGGGGACAAAGUGACAGGUGGUGCAUGGUCGUCGUCAGCUCGUGUCGUGAGAUGUUGGGUUAAGUCCCGCAACGAGCGCAACCCUUAUUACUAGUUGCCAGCAUUGAGUUGGGCACUCUAGUGAGACUGCCGGUGACAAACCGGAGGAAGGUGGGGAUGACGUCAAAUCAUCAUGCCCCUUAUGACUUGGGCUACACACGUGCUACAAUGGAUGGUACAACGAGCAGCGAACUCGCGAGGGUAAGCGAAUCUCUUAAAGCCAUUCUCAGUUCGGAUUGUAGGCUGCAACUCGCCUACAUGAAGACGGAAUCGCUAGUAAUCGCGGAUCAGCACGCCGCGGUGAAUACGUUCCCGGGUCUUGUACACACC
rnacentral:rRNA from 1 species